rnacentral:rRNA from 1 species
GAUGAACGCUGGCGGCGUGCCUAAUACAUGCAAGUCGAGCGGACGGACGAGAGGCUUGCUUCUCAGAUGUUAGCGGCGGACGGGCGAGUAACGCGGGGAUAACGUACCUAAAUGACUGGGAUAACUUCGGGAAACCGUAGCUAAUAGCGGAUAAUAUUGUGAACCGCAUGGUUCAAGAGUGAAAGACGGUCUUGCUGUCACUUAUAGAUGGAUCCGCGCUGCAUUAGCUAGUUGGUAGGGUAACGGCUUACCAAGGCAACGAUGCAUAGCCGAACUGGGAGGGUGGUCGGCCACACUGGAACGGAGACACGGACCAGACUCCUACGGGAGGCAGCAGAAGGGAAUCUUACGCAAUGGGCGAGAGCAUAACGGAGCAACGCCGCGUGAGUUAUGAAGGUCUUCGGAUCGUAAUACUCUGUUAUGAGUGAAGAACAUAUGUCUAAGUAACUGUGCACAUCUUGACGGUACCUAAUCAGAAAGCCACGGCUAACUACGUG